AGCUAGUUAGUCUAGUAGUAUAAUUCUUAGCUAUAAAAGACAUAGUUGCUAGGUACGCUAUUAGAGUCCCCGCUCCUCGAGCUAUACUACCCUAGGUCGUUAAGAACUCUAAGGCGCUAUAAUCGAUAGGGUCUAAGAGGUCGUAGGUUCAAUUCCUAUACUAGUUA
rfam:Pseudocercospora fijiensis CIRAD86 unplaced genomic scaffold MYCFIscaffold_8, whole genome shotgun sequence.